UAGGGAAUCUUCCACAAUGGACGAAAGUCUGAUGGAGCAACGCCGCGUGAGUGAANAAGGGUUUCGGCUCGUAAAACUCUGUUGUUAAAGAAGAACAUAUCUGAGAGUAACUGUUCAGGUAUUGACGGUAUUUAACCAGAAAGCCACGGCUAACUACGUGCCAG
rnacentral:rRNA from 1 species